GACGUAAGGGGCGAGCGUUACCCGGUAGCACUGGGCGUAAAGAGCGUGUAGGCGGUGGCAUGGGUCGGCGGUGAAAGCCACGGGCUCAACUCGUGGACGUCCGCCGAGACCGUGUUGCUCGAGGGCGGGAGGGGAAGGCGGAAUUCCCGGUCGAGCGGUGAAAUGCGAUGACAUCGGGAAGAACUCCAGCAGCGAAGGCGGCCUUCCAGCCCGAUCCUGACGCUGAGACGCGAAGGCACGGGGAGCGAGCCGG
rnacentral:rRNA from 1 species